rnacentral:lncRNA from 1 species
GAUUUUAUAUUUUGCGUUUUGAAACUAUAAUUAUUUAGAAUAAGAUAAGUAGUUGUAAUAAGAUAAUCAUUUGUUUCAGUGUUCGACAAAUUCUUGUUGAAUGAUGAAAUUCUAAAAAAUAUUACAUAAAAUGACAGACAAGAAAAGUUGUUACAUUUUCAUGUGAUAACCCUUUUAAAUAUAAAGAUUUAUGUUUUUUUUAACUAUAACAAUAAUAACAUUUUUUAUAAAAGGUGUAUAUUGAUACGUAGGAUUGUAAAUGAGUCGAGCUCGAACUCAGUUUGUGCUCAGGGACGGGAUUCAGGGCCGGCUCAACCAUUUUGGUGGCCUAAAGCGAAUUAAAAACUCG